GAUGAAGAACGCAGCGAAAUGCGAUAAGUAAUGUGAAUUGCAGAAUUCAGUGAAUCAUCGAAUCUUUGAACGCACAUUGCGCCCCCUGGUAUUCCGGGGGGCAUGCCUGUUCGAGCGUCAUUUCACCACUCAAGCCUCGCUUGGUAUUGGGCAACGCGGUCCGCCGCGUGCCUCAAAUCGUCCGGCUGGGUCUUCUGUCCCCUAAGCGUUGUGGAAACUAUUCGCUAAAGGGUGUUCGGGAGACUACGCCGUAAAACAACCCCAUUUCUAAGGUUGACCUCGGAUCAGGUAGGGAUACCCGCUGAACUUAAGCAUAUCAAUAAGCGGAGGA
rnacentral:misc_RNA from 1 species